UUACCUCAGAGCCCAAAUUAGAAGGCUGAAAAAAUCACAGCAGGAAAUAAUGUGCUGCCUAAAAUAGAAGCAUCAACUGGGAGAGAGGCCGGGGAGUAGGUGGCAUCUGAGGCUCCCGCCGCGUCCUCCCCAGCGGCUGCCUGACGCGGCGUCAGAGGCGCGCGCGUGGCGCCCGGCCAGAGGGGCCGAGAGGCCCGGGCGGCGCAGGGCGAUGACAAAACUGAGACACAAAAGAUGAAUCAGCUUGGCCGUGUUCACAGAGCCAGAGUGUGGAAAAGCCAGAAUCCAGACCCAGACCCUGUCUGCAGCGUCGCGGCUCUUCUUACUCCUCACCAGCCACUGCCUCUCAGCUUAGUGCUCUUCCACCCGGCUCUUCUUUCUUAAAAUGACUCCACACCCACAGAAGGAGAGGGGGAUGAAGAAACCUGCCAGGAGGGUGCUUCCCGCCAGUAUCUGAUGAAGCUCUCCUUCGGAAUAAUAUGUUGUCUGUGCCAAGGAUGAAAUGAAGACAGAGUAUGAUGGCUCAUUUUGACUUUUUCCUUACUUAGAAAUGGAGAGCCCCAAAGUCCAAAUCCUUGGACCAGCUAUCCCCCACCUUCCUCCUCAGGGGCAGAAGGUGAGAUGAGAGCAAGCAAACAUCUGAGUUCACUCAUGAAACUUUACUGGGCAAAGAAUAGAAAAUGUUGGUUUGGACCCUCCUCCACUGUCUAGAGGCUCCCCGACAUGAGCUCUCUCAUUGACCCAUCUCCUUCCCCGGCUUCCCCGCUGUGACUCUACCAGCCCCUCUCGAUCACCUCCGUGAGCCUGAGCACUUUCCCUGUUCCCCCACCUGGCGUUGCCAAUUCACAGGCUCUUGUUUAUUCACUGUUCUUCUGAGGAAGGUGGGGCCGGUGUCAGGGUAACUUACUAGGUUUGACAGGGGCUUGGUGGCCUCAUGGGGAGCCCCUCAGACACUGGUUUCACAUGGCCUCUCCUAAUGUCUUCACAUGGACCCAAGGGCCCUCCCUGGAGCCCACCCCACAGUGGAUGGGACUGUACCUACAAGGCACUGGUGGGGCCCAGCAUUCAGCUGACAGCUGAAAAACCUUGGGUCUACAUUGGGCUAAAAGGAAGGAAGAAUGUUUCUUGCCCUUUUGAGAUGUUUACAAAAAUCCCAAAAAAGCAAUUGUGUUGUCAAAGUAGAGCCCUGAAUCAGAAAGGUGGUUAGAAGAAUUGUUAUUACCCAGGCGCUUGGUAUCAACAUAAGAACAUGGCUGAUACUCAAGUCCAGAGGGACUAGGAGAACUGGGGAGUUUCAGAAGUUGGUCAAAGAACAUGUUGCCUUUGGCAAAACCACACAUGUCAAACAACCCGAGUGUCUGUUCAAUCUGUAUUGCUCUCAGAGAGACUUUCAGGACAAGGUUUUCAGAAGCCAGGAAAAGCCUAAAAAUGUAGGACAUCAGGUGUCCCCAGCAACCCUGGGGUGAAAAACCAAAGAAGGUGGUUCUUAAACAAGGGCUCUGGGAAGACUGGAAGCCAAUGUCGACUCCUCCUCAGUUGAAGGUCACUGAGGCUGCAUUUCUUAGCUGCAAGUGACCCAGGGCAGCUGGCCACCCCUUAGAUGAUCAGUGGAACAACAUGUUAAUAAGAACAUGUGUGCAGAGGCCGGGCGCGGUGGCUCACGCCUGUAAUCCCAGCACUUUGGGAGGCCGAGAC